rnacentral:rRNA from 1 species
UGGGGAAUAUUGGACAAUGGGCGAAAGCCUGAUCCAGCCAUGCCGCGUGUGUGAAGAAGGUCUUCGGAUUGUAAAGCACUUUAAGUUGGGAGGAAGGGCAGUAAGCGAAUACCUUGCUGUUUUGACGUUACCGACAGAAUAAGCACCGGCUAACUCUGUGCCAGCAGCCGCGGUAAUACAGAGGGUGCAAGCGUUAAUCGGAAUUACUGGGCGUAAAGCGCGCGUAGGUGGUUCGUUAAGUUGAAUGUGAAAGCCCCGGGCUCAACCUGGGAACUGCAUCCAAAACAGGCGAGCUAGAGUAGGGCAGAGGGUGGUGGAAUUACCUGUGUAGCGGUGAAAUGCGUAGAUAUAGGAAGGAACACCAGUGGCGAAGGCGACCACCUGGGCUCAUACUGACACUGAGGUGCGAAAGCGUGGGGAGCAAACAGG